AACCCCUGCCCUUAGUUGCCAGCGGUUAGGCCGGGCACUCUAAGGGGACUGCCGGCGACGAGCCGGAGGAAGGAGGGGAUGACGUCAGAUACUCGUGCCCCUUAUGUCCUGGGCGACACACGUGCUACAAUGGGGUGGACAGCGGGAAGCGAGGCAGCGAUGCUGAGCAAAACCCUGAAACCACCCCCCAGUUCAGAUUGUGGGCCGAAACCCGCCCACAUGAAGCCGGAAUCGCUAGUAAUCGCGGAUCAGCCACGCCGCGGUGAAUACGUUCCCGGGCCUUGUACACACCGCCCGUCAAGCCACCCGAGUCGCGGGCACCCGAAGACGGUGACCCUUAGGGGCGCCGUUGAGGGUGAACGUGGUGAGGGGGGCUAAGUCGUAACAAGGUGACCGUA
rnacentral:rRNA from 1 species